rnacentral:rRNA from 1 species
CUACGGGCGGCACCAGUGGGGAAUAUUGCACAAUGGGCGCAAGCCUGAUGCAGCCAUGCCGCGUGUAUGAAGAAGGCCUUCGGGUUGUAAAGUACUUUCAGCGGGGAGGAAGGGAGUAAAGUUAAUACCUUUGCUCAUUGACGUUACCCGCAGAAGAAGCACCGGCUAACUCCGUGCCAGCAGCCGCGGUAAUACGGAGGGUGCAAGCGUUAAUCGGAAUUACUGGGCGUAAAGCGCACGCAGGCGGUUUGUUAAGUCAGAUGUGAAAUCCCCGGGCUCAACCUGGGAACUGCAUCUGAUACUGGCAAGCUUGAGUCUCGUAGAGGGGGGUAGAAUUCCAGGUGUAGCGGUGAAAUGCGUAGAGAUCUGGAGGAAUACCGGUGGCGAAGGCGGCCCCCUGGACGAAGACUGACGCUCAGGUGCGAAAGCGUGGGGAGCAAACAGGAUUAGAUACCCCCGUAGUC